UCUGCCAAGCAGCCUGUAGGAAGAGAGCACAGAAACUUAUCAGUCCACAGAAAUAUCAGACAGGGUGCAGUCACCACAAAGUCCAUCCCAUUCCCACCUUUGGUCCAGUUCAACCCACUCCCUUUGACUUCCUAAAGGACGUCAGUCCAAUUUGUUAAGAGCUGCCACCCUACUCUCCACCAACCUGAGCAAUGGAAGUCUUUCCAGGCCUUUCAAAGGUCUCAUUAGCCAUCUCUGAACCUCCUCCAUUUCUGCUAUAUUUGUUUUUCGAGAGGGUGACCAGAACUGAAUUCAAUGAUCCAGAUUCUCAGCUGAUGUAAAUCAGCAUAACUACAUUGAAAUUAAUUCUCCAGCUGAAGGUGUAGCCCAGCAUUCUAGUCCAUGUACCUGGUAAAUGUACCACCAUCGUGCCGUCAGAAGGGCAAACCCAUCAGAGACGACAGGACAGAGCUUCUCUCAUGUACCAAAAUUAGAGUAUGCAUGAGUAGAAUAUGGAGUCCAGGACUGGAAUGGAUCUGCAGAUCAUGACUGAGGCUCCUCAGCGGACCCAGAACUGGAACAGCAAGGGGUUCUGAAGUCAGGUCUCAAGUGCUUUGGGACAGCUGUGUGAAGGAAAAAUGCACAGCAAAUGCCCACAUCAUGCCUUAAUUUUUAGCCAGUUCUAGGUGCCUUUCACUUCUCUGAGCACCAGCACACACAAAAAACCCAAACCAAACCAAACAUGAAAUUUCUCUCUGUACCUUCCCAAAGCACAUGACAUCACUGGAUGGAAAAUAAAAAUAAUCAAAUACAAAAAUAUCGAAGCAAUGAUUUCAAUUGAGAAGCUGGAAUCCUCUCUCCCAUCCCUGGAAUUUGUCACUCGGACUUCUGUUAUUCCUCAGGGACACAAGGGAAAUGCAUCAAACUCACAACUACUUCAAUGUCAGUUUCACUUCCUCCUCUCCUUUUUCAAUAUUUCUACUAACUGACAAACAGAAGCCAACAGAGACACAGAAUAACACAGCUGGGCAACCCAGGGAGGAGGAGAUUUGCAUCUGUUUAUAUGGCAGAGACAGACUUCCACUGUGUACCUGCCUAGGGUGAGCAUUGUGGGUCAGAUGGUCUUCAUUGAGUGUAUAUGGGAGAAGGUGGUUUUCAGCUGGGACUUUGGACCAGGAGGCGCACAGAAAAACAAUGGAGAUUUGGGCGGAUUUUCCUAACAUUUGCCAGCUCCGUUAAGGAAAUAAAAAAAUAAAAACUGACCUGACUUUGGAUAAUCCACAUAAAUGAAAGAGAAUGAAACAGACAGAAAUGAAUCUGUAACAAAUCAGUUUCUAUACUUAUGUAUGUAUAUCUAAAUGUAAUGUACUGAAGUGGUAUAAAUAUUAAAUCAAUUAGGAAUUUGUAAUGAAUCCACCACCAUGGUAUCCAGGCCACAUUAUACAGAUGUGCUGAGGGAGAGGUGUAUGUGAUAUUACGUGUGUGCGCGCGCGCAUAUGUGUAUAUGUAUAUAUGGGGUAAAUGUAUAACAUGCAUAUAUAAUAUAGAUUUAUGCUACACACACACUGCUCUCCCUCUCUACAUGUGCCUAAAUACCAUGGUGAUGGGUCCCUUGCAUUGCCCAACUAUGAUUUAAUAUCUAUAUAGCAGCAUAAUUGUACACAGAGCUUUACAACAGACAAAACAUACUAAGUAAAGAAGAAAAUCACUGCUUACCACAAUAUCUGUGAGCAGCACCCUGAGUCAGCCCUGUGUCUACUGGGACAUGAAAGGGAGAAUGUCUCAUACGAUUUUCCAUACAUCUGCACUACACUGAAUCUGAUAUUUUAGAGAUGUUCAUUCUCUUUCCUGAGGGGCAGCUCUUAGUGGCUGCUGGUAGGAGAGGGGUUGCCCUCUGCAGGGAAGGGUGAAGGGGAGCCAUAGGGGAAUAUGUUUCAGAGACAGCGCAGCCCACCCUGACGGCGUGUCCUCCCUGCUGUGUGCGUUCCGUUUGCCCUUGGAAUGCUAUCACUUAUUAUCACGCUGACUUCUCCAGAUGGGGCAUUUUGGCUAUUGAUCUGAUAAAUAAACAGCCUGCUCGCUCGAUCAAAAUGUUAUUUUGCAUUUCAAUUACUGUUCACUAAUGCAACCUUCAUCCCGCCAAGAGCGCUGCUGGCAAUGACACUCGACCUGGCACAGGCGCUGUGAGCAAACUCGGCAGUGCCUGCUGCAAGCACCUAACGGGAUUACCAUCCUCCAUUAGGUGCGUAGAAAGAAAGGGUGAUGGACAGACAGUCUUGCGAUGAAGGGGAACAGAUGUGCAGAAAGGGAAGUGUGUGGGGGCUGGAGCCGGGGCAGGAAUAAGCAGGCGCAUGAACACACUGACAUCAGGAGUUUGCCAGGCAUUUGCCAGCUGGAGUUCUCCAGGGGGUAAGUCAGCCCUAGCCUGCGAAUGGCUGGUUCUGACGGUCCAUCUUCCAGAUGGGACUGAGCUCACGAGGUUGGAGACAUGCGAGAAUUCAGAGAUAUGGGAAUUGGAAAUCAAUCUGUGAUUACGGGCCAGCAGUGUGAAUUGAAAACCAAUCACUGGCAGAUGGGGUGGCUUCCAAGAUAUUAUUUUUCUCCUGGCUAUUUUGGGGUUCAGCAAUACACAGGAUGCAAACAGGGCAUUGCACUCGAGUUUGGGGAAAGAGAAUCCUCUGAACUCCGGACUGCAGCCUUGAAGAGAUGAGGAAACAUGGCUAGUUCUGGACGUGGCGUAGUAACAGCAUGACACACAAAAGUGUGGGUAAGAGACUGAUCUAUAGUUUCUGGCCUAAAUCACAUGACCUGGGUCAGGAUUCCAAAAGUUUCAUACCCCUGUCAAGUGGCAGGUGUCAGUAUCCACCCUCUCCAGUACCCUUUUUUACACCGUCCCUUCUUUAAAAAAAAAAUCAAAUGCAAAGAAAACAUAAAACCAACUAAAAAUACCAACCCCAAACUAACACAGACUAUUUGUAAAAACACACAAAGGGAGGCGCACACGUGGAGAUCAGCCCUGAACUCCCACAUAGAAGGGUUGCCUCUUAUUGGGCUUCUGUCAACAACAACCUUCUCUGGAAGGCAAUGACUUUCUGAUCGCGUGGCUACCUCUUGUUUUCAAAAAACCCAGCUCCUCCUGCAGAUAAAGCUGCUGAGGUGGAGCUGCGACAGAAAGCUUCUGUCCAGCGCCAUGUCGCCCCACUGAUGUUGAAAGAGCCUUUCUUCUGGGAUCAACUAGAUAAUAUAUCCUCCAAUGCCACACGUAUUGU